rnacentral:misc_RNA from 1 species
GGUCUGCCAGUGGUCUUGUCUCGCAUUACCACAGUCUGUAAAACGUCGCCAUAUUGAGAGAAGUAGUCGUUAAGCUUCUCCUCGGUUGUCUCCCACGAAAUCCCACCAAUAAAUAGCUUUCCCUGAUCUGAAUCCAUAAAAUUUCUGUUUAUAUAGUUAUAGCUAAAGGUCUUGCAGUGGCUUCAGAUAUGGGUUCGUUUUGAAAUUUGAGAGAUUUCACUUUCUAUUGGGGUUUUGGGGUUUGGGAUUUGGUGCAGAGGGUUUGGUUUUUGGGGCUAAG